rnacentral:rRNA from 1 species
GCCGCGGUAAAACCAGCACCUCAAGUGGUCAGGAUGAUUAUUGGGCCUAAAGCAUCCGUAGCCGGCUCUGUAAGUUUUCGGUUAAAUCUGUACGCUCAACGUACGGGCUGCCGGAAAUACUGCAGAGCUAGGGAGUGGGAGAGGUAGACGGUACUCGGUAGGAAGGGGUAAAAUCCUUUGAUCUAUUGAUGACCACCUGUGGCGAAGGCGGUCUACCAGAACACGUCCGCCGGUGAGGGAUGAAAGCUGGGGGAGCAAACCGGAUUAGAUACCCGGGAAGUCCCAGCUGUAACCUAUGCAAACUCAGUGAUGCAUUGGCUUGUGGCCAGUGCAGUGUCGCAGGGAAGCCGUUAAGUUUGCCGCCUGGGAAGUACGUACGCAAGUAUGAAACUUAAAGGAAUUGGCGGGGGAGCACCACAAGGGGUGAAGCCUGCGGUU